UGGGGAAUUUUGGACAAUGGGGGCAACCUGAUCCAGCAAUGCCGCGUGUGUGAAGAAGGCCUUCGGGUUGUAAAGCACUUUUGUCCGGAAAGAAAACGCCGUGGUUAAUACCCGUGGCGGAUGACGGUACCGGAAGAAUAAGCACCGGCUAACUACGUGCCAGCAGCCGCGGUAAUACGUAGGGUGCAAGCGUUAAUCGGAAUUACUGGGCGUAAAGCGUGCGCAGGCGGUCCGCUAAGACAGAUGUGAAAUCCCCGGGCUUAACCUGGGAACUGCAUUUGUGACUGGCGGGCUAGAGUAUGGCAGAGGGGGGUAGAAUUCCACGUGUAGCAGUGAAAUGCGUAGAGAUGUGGAGGAAUACCGAUGGCGAAGGCAGCCCCCUGGGCCAAUACUGACGCUCAUGCACGAAAGCGU
rnacentral:rRNA from 1 species